UGUUAUGAUUGAGCCUCAUGGCUCUGCUACUGGCAGACGUGGGCGUAAGACUCCUCGAGAGUCAGAUACUCUCGAGGAGCGAGAAAGAAAGAGGCUGCGAGAUAUCUUUGCAGAACCAUCUGACGAAGAGUCUUUUGAGGGGUUUACGGAGAGAAUGGAGGAAGAGCUGGUUAGCUCGGAAGAGGAUGAGAUGGAUUGGACUCGGCUUUGACCUUCCGUCGUCUUCUUGACGGACGCCAUC